UUGAACCUUCUCUAUGAUAUACGUUCUCUGCUGUUACAUUAAGAAAUUACGCUAUUAUUUAUUACCAAAAACGCUCUACAACACUAACAAACUAGCAGCUGUUUGUGACAUUUUUACUUGUUUGCAUUUUUAGAAGAUAUCCAACCCAACUCGGAAUUAAACAGUUGUGUAAGCAAUUUAUAAAAUCACAACAAAUUUCAUAUUUUCAAAAGUUACUCAUAUAUUGAUUUGAAAUAUAAUAUUCAAUAUGCAGUCCUCACAGUACCUUAGUCAACUGAACGCCCUCGAAAAGAUGAGCGAUGAACCGUGGCCGGAGGAUGCAGUACUUUAUCAGCCUUACGAAGCAGAGCAAAUACUUUUGCCAGAACAUGCUAGUUGCUUAGCUGUUAAGGCGUAUCUUAAAAUGUGCCAACUACCAUUUGAAGUACGCUCAUGUGCAAAUGCUGAAUAUAUGUCGCCAAGUGGACGUUUGACAAAGCUGCCAUUUAUUCGUGCCGGAGCGUUCAUAGUGAGUGAAUUUGAACCCAUAGUAAAUUUUAUUGAGCAUAAAGGCUCGGCUAUCGGGCAGUGGUUGGACGAUGACAGCAAGGCUGAUAUGCGUACAUAUGUAUCAUUGGCUGAAAACAUCUUUACAAUGGCCGAACUAUAUAUCAGCUUCAUCAACAAAAUUGUAUAUGAAAAAGUGACAGCACCACGAAAUGGCUGUGUUUUUCCAUGGCCACUUAAUCUAAUACAAAAUUACUCUAAGCGCCGCAAUACACUGCGUUUGCUGAAGGUAUAUCAAUGGAACGAUAUGACUAUUGAAGAUGUAAUUGAGAAGGUAGAGAAAUGUUGUGAGACAUUAACAUUGAAACUCGAAGAGUCGCCCGAUACGCCGUUCUUUUAUUCGGACCAGCCAUGCGAAUUGGACGCGAUUGCCUUUGGACAUCUUUUUGCUAUUUUAACAACUGAUUUGCCAAAUAUGGCACUUGCACAGACAGUGCGAAAAUUUAAACGUUUGGUAGAGUUUUGCCAAUAUAUUGAUGGGAAAUAUUUCCAAAUGAGGUCUCUAUAAAGUGUUUGGAUGUUAUACGUUAAUAUUUAUUUGAAUUUUACGCAGAUUUUUAGUAAAUGAAUCUAAAUUGCUCAGCCGAUCCAAGAUGCGAGCAAUCCCACUUAUACAAAUUUAUACACGUAUAUAGAAAUAAAUUGUUAAUUAAAAUCAAUGGAA